AGUGAAUGCUGGCGGUAGGCCUAACACAUGCAAGUCGAACGGCAGCACAGUAAGAGCUUGCUCUUACGGGUGGCGAGUGGCGGACGGGUGAGGAAUACAUCGGAAUCUACUUUUUCGUGGGGGAUAACAUAGGGAAACUUACGCUAAUACCGCAUACGACCUACGGGUGAAAGCAGGGGAUCUUCGGACCUUGCGCGAUUGAAUGAGCCGAUGUCGGAUUAGCUAGUUGGCGGGGUAAAGGCCCACCAAGGCGACGAUCCGUAGCUGGUCUGAGAGGAUGAUCAGCCACACUGGAACUGAGACACGGUCCAGACUCCUACGGGAGGCAGCAGUGGGGAAUAUUGGACAAUGGGCGCAAGCCUGAUCCAGCCAUACCGCGUGGGUGAAGAAGGCCUUCGGGUUGUAAAGCCCUUUUGUUGGGAAAGAAAAGCAGCAGGUUAAUACCCCGCUGUUCUGACGGUACCCAAAGAAUAAGCACCGGCUAACUUCGUG
rnacentral:rRNA from 1 species